UACGGAGGUGGCAAGCGUUGCUCGGAAUCACUGGGCGUAAAGGGCGCGUAGGUGGUUUGCCAAGUCGGGGUUGAAAUCUUUCGGCUUAACCGGAAAAGUGGCUUCGAUACUGGCAAGCUGGAGGGAGGUAGGGGCGGAUGGAACUUCCGGUGGAGCGGUGAAAUGUGUUGAUAUCGGAAGGAACGCCGGUGGCGAAAGCGAUCCGCUGGACCUCUUCUGACACUGAGGCGCGAAAGCCAGGGGAGCAAACGGG
rnacentral:rRNA from 1 species